GGAAAUCUCACCAGGCCCGGACACUGGAAGGAUUGACAGAUUGAUAGCUCUUUCUUGUUAGCAAUAACAGGUCUGUGAUGCCCGUUCUUAGUUGGUGGAGUGAUUUGUCUGGUUAAUUCCGUUAACGAACGAGACCUUAACCUACUAAAUAGUUUGCAAUCUCACCGAUUGCAAUUCUUCUUAGAGGGACUAUAUGUGUUAAGCAUAUGGAAGUUUGAGGCAAUAA
rnacentral:rRNA from 1 species